AAUAAAAUAAACCCUGGGUUUUCGUAUUCAAUAUUUGACUGUCCGUCUUAUAUGAAAUUUUUUUAUAAUUAGUAUUUUCAUUGUUGUUAGAUGAUAAAAUAUGAUUAAUACUUUAUACGUAACUUGUCUUUUUAAUUUUUUUUAUAAUUUUUUCAAAUAAGACGGACGGUCAAACGUUGGACACGGAAACUCAGGGUU
rnacentral:pre_miRNA from 1 species